GCCGAUGUAGCUCAGUUGGUCAGAGCAGCUGAUUUGUAAUCAGCAGGUCGGGGGUUCGAAUCCCUCCAUCGGCUCCA
rnacentral:tRNA from 1 species